rnacentral:rRNA from 1 species
UUGUUGCGGUUAAAACGUUCGUAGUUGAAUUUGUGUCCCACACGGGUAAUUGGCCCACUUACGGGUUCUUAUUACUUGCCGGCUUGCUGGCUUUAGUGUGCGGACGUUUUACCGGUGAGGGAAACGGUGUAGUUUCGGCUGCAAUACGCCCCUUAUUUAUUUCAUAAACCCGUCUUGGUGCUUUUAAUCGAGUGCCAAUGUGGGCCGGUACUAUUACUUUGAACAAAUUAGAGUGCUUAAAGCAGGCUAAAUUUAAUGAAAGUUAAAACGCCUGAAUAUAUUUUGCAUGGAAUAAUGGAAUAGGACCUCUGUUCUACUUUCAUUGGUUUUUAGACCAAGAGGUAAUGAUUAAUAGAAGCAGUUGGGGGCACUAGUAUUACGAGGCGAGAGGUGAAAUUCGUAGACCCUCGUAAGACUAACUUAAGCGAAAGCAUUUGCCAAGGAUGUUUUCAUUAAUCAAGAACGAAAGUUAGAGGAUCGAAGGCGAUCAGAUACCGCCCUAGUUCUAACCAUAAACGAUGCCAGCUAGCAAUUGUAUGUAGCUACUAAUUUUGGUUCAUACAGUCGCUUUCCGGGAAACCAAAGCUUUUGGGCUCCGGGGGAAGUAUGGUUGCAAAGCUGAAACUUA